rnacentral:rRNA from 1 species
GACGAACGCUGGCGGCGUGCUUAACACAUGCAAGUCGAGCGGUAAGGCCCUUUCGGGGGUACACGAGCGGCGAACGGGUGAGUAACACGUGGGUGACCUGCCCUUAGCUCUGGGAUAAGCCUGGGAAACUGGGUCGUAAUACCGGAUAUGACUCCAUGACGCAUGUUGUGGGGUGGGAAAGCCUUGUGCGGCUAGGGAUGGGCCCGCGGCCUAUCAGCUUGUUGGUGGGGUGAUGGCCUACCAAGGCGACGACGGUAGCCGGCCUGAGAGGGCGACCGGCCACACUGGGACUGAGACACGGCCCAGACUCCUACGGGAGGCAGCAGUGGGGAAUCUUGCGCAAUGGGCGAAAGCCUGACGCAGCGACGCCGCGUGAGGGAUGACGGCCUC